rnacentral:rRNA from 1 species
GGGGCGGAUGCGAGGGUUGCCCGUAACACGGCUCUCCUCGAAUUUCCAGGCUCUACGUCUUUUUACACACCCCAAUAGUAUGAUGCAGAAUGUAGUCAAUGGGCUUCUCAGCCUAUAAAACACUAUACAACUUUCAGCAACGGAUCUCUUGGCUCUCGCAUCGAUGAAGAACGCAGCGAAAUGCGAUAAGUAAUGUGAAUUGCAGAAUUCAGUGAAUCAUCGAAUCUUUGAACGCACCUUGCGCUCCUUGGUAUUCCGAGGAGCAUGCCUGUUUGAGUGUCAUUAAAUUCUCAACCUCACCAGUUUUCUGAACUGUUCUUCGAGGCUUGGAUGUGGGGGUUUGUGCAGGCUGCCUCACGGCGGUCUGCUCCCCUGAAAUGCAUUAGCGAGUUCAUACUGAACUUCCGUCUAUUGGUGUGAUAAUUAUCUACGCCGUGGACGAGGAUCAGACUCGCUUCUAACCGUCCGCGAGGACAAUACCUUGACAAUUUGACCUCAAAUCAGGUAGGACUACCCGCUGAACUUAAGCAUAUCAAUAAGCGGAGGAA